UACAGAGGGGGCAAGCGUUGUUCGGAAUUACUGGGCGUAAAGCGCGCGCAGGCGGCCCUUUAAGUCCGUCGGUCAAAUGCCGGGGCUCAACCCCGAGCGUGCCGAGGAUACUGGAGGGCUGGAGACACGUAGAGGCAAGCGGAAUUCCGGGUGUAGCGGUGGAAUGCGUAGAGAUCCGGAGGAACACCAGCGGCGAAGGCGGCAUCCUGGACUGGUCCUGACACUCAGGAGCGAAAGCGUGGGGAGCGAUCCGG
rnacentral:rRNA from 1 species